GCUGCAGUGAGCCAAUGUACAGCGAAUGUGGAGCAUCUAAUGUUUUGCUAAAUUUGGGCAAAAUGUUAUAAUUAGUUUACAUUACAUUAAAAAAAAGAUUUAAUUUACUGUAUUUUAUUUUGUGAGUUUCGGGUGCUGAAGAUGUGUCUCUGGAGUGAAAAAUAUUCAACUCACUUUGGAUUUUACGCUUUGUAUUUAAUCUAUUUAAAAGGGAAAAACAGAAUUGAUGAUCAAUUGAGAACCUCUUAUGCUUUUGCUUGAAGGUUCUAGGUUCAAAUGGAUUCAACGCACGCUAUGUUCAGUCUUCCGAUUUCUCAUGUGUGGCUGUGGCCAGUCAGGAGAAGAUGAAGUUAAACUUUCUGUGCAGGAGACCACGCCGGCUAUGCAACCACUUUUAAACACGAGUUCUGUAAGACUCUGGUACUGAAACUGGGUGAAUCACCACCAGAGAAGCACAGCACAACAAGAACACCAUGGAAGAUGUCAUCAUAUAACAUGUGCCUUCUGGCUACUAUUUAAUUCCUGUAGCCUAAUUAGUCUCAGAGAUUCUCAGUCCUCCAGAUUUGUUCAUGUGGAAGUUAUGUCAUGUCAACUUCUAUAUGGAAACUGUUGCAUCCUGAGCCACCUUCUGUUAUCAGUGGAACUGAAGAUAUCAUGAAUCAUCAAACCUGAUAAAUCUUCAGCCUUGGGAGAUUUUUUAAUAUACUGUGGAUAUCUUUUCUGUACAUAUGUACAUGUGCUUGGCAGUGUUUUGUCCUUUUUUUUUUUCCUUUUUGCUAUACACUUUUAAUCUAAUUGUGCAAUUCAACUCUUGCACUUUUUAAUGUAAGGUUAAACCUUGGAAAAAUGUGAUCAUGUGACGCUCAGCAGACACACACAUACUACUCGUAUGUCAAGAAUUGCUCUUUUACCAAGUUAAAAUUUAUUUUAAAAUUUAGCUUGUCUUGCCAAACUGAGUUACUCGCAAUCCAUGUUAACACAUUUUUUAAAAUAAUUUUAACUGUAACACCAAUUUUAUAGCACUCUUUUAUAGCAUUAUAUUCCAUUCCUGUAGCGUAGGUUUUUAAUUUAGCAAUUUAAUAAAAAUAAUUCAGUUGUUUGUUAGUUUAUUCAGCCCUCUUUCUCCAAAUUGUUCUUUAAGUAUUAUUGAGUAAUAUUUGGGGUGAUUAAAAAAAUGAAGGUAAAAAAAUAGAUGAUGAUGCUGUAUUAAUUUAAUUAGUAAAAAUGGGGCUUUUAGUGUAAUGGAAUGUAUUGAGAGCUUAAAAUGCGGUGAACUUAACGUUUCUCAUGUAAAUAUAUGGUCUAUUAUAUAUGUAUGUAUUGUAAACAUAUCAUGCAUCAAUGUUAUGUGUAAUUGCUCUUUAUCAUUAUUGUAAAUUAAGCUUUUGCUUUCUCUGAGUCUCAUUUACCGGGCUGCUUUUACACUAGACACAAUUGCUUACUUAACACUGCCUCCACUCUCUUACUGGCCCACUUUUACAUUAAUAAUACUGUACUGUUCUGUACCCGAUUACUCUUGCGUACUUACUGUAAGCUCCUCGACACAGCAGAUGGCAGUAUGCACAUAGUUGGUUUGUGAUCUGGCGAUAAAUGCAAAGCUGUCAUUGUAUAUACAUUUAUUCCCCUACAUACAAAUGAGUUUCGUUCCAAAGGGCUCAUUCGUAAGUCCAAUUCGUAAUUGCAUCAAACCUCUAGGUACUAGGAUAUUAACACAGUAUAUUACAGUACACUGCUCUUAAGAAUUGUGUCGAUGGUUGAAUGAUUCAUGUUAAAAAAAACAAGCAAUAAAUGCCAUCUUUUUACCUCGCUCAGUUUUCUCAAGGAUGCAUGCUGCACGCACGCGCCGAUGUAUGGCGGACAUGUGAUCUAACUUCUGCUAUUGAACAUGCUCGAAUGUUUGUUCGUAUCUUCGAAAGUUUAUAACUCGAUUUGUCAUUUGUAGUGGACUUACUGUAUAGCUGAGACUAAUAACAUUGAUGACACGGCAUUAAAAACAGCAGCCCAUUCAGUGUUUAGGUACAGUCAGUUUUUAUAUUUGAUUCAAAUCAUGCUGAAGUACAGGUGUAAUUUGCACGUGCCUGUACUUCUCAUAGUGUAAAAGCACUUGUGUAAAUUUAUUUUAUUUAUUUUGUUUUUAUUCCUUAUUUGUACUUAUAAUGCAUAUGUUUACCCCCAAAAUACAUCAUAUACAGCAUGAAGUGAGUUGCUAUUUACAUCAAUUGCCUUUGGGUUUUUUUUUUUGUAAUCGAUAUUCGAAGUCAGUUUUGGCAUAUAGACUUGGUGGGAUUCUUUCAAAAAAUUACUUAAAAAAAUGAAUGCAUUCAAAAAGCAGAAUAGAUUGAUAUUAAUAUUAAAUCUAUAAUAGCUAGCUUAUAUAUCGACAUUUGUCCCAUCACAAUCCUUUAACCUGUUAAAGAAAGUUUAGCUUUAUAUUAGAUAACACAUCUAAACGUAUUUUAAAGUGUAAAUGUAUUUUAAUUAUAUUUAUAAGACAUCUAAAAAUAAAAAAGUGUAUUGUUAAAUUAUUUUUUUCCCAGCUAUCUACUGUACACACUGAAAUGUUACACUGACUAGGUAUCUAAUAAACACCAUAUCUUUUAAUACGCAUACAAAAUGAACUGUAUGGCUUAUAACUUGUUAAUGCACAGAAAUAACAUUUUGUAAGGUUGAAUAUCUUGUGCUUUGUUUUCACUAAGUUGUACUUCUUUUAUUGCCAGAGAGUGAAUCAUAGAUGAGAAAUUAAAAAAGUAGAUUGGAUAAAGUUUUGCCUUAAAAAAAACGUUAAAAAUCGUUUAAAAAUCAUUAAUACCCCUUCAUCGCUGUUAUUUCUGCA